rnacentral:rRNA from 1 species
CCUACGGGAGGCAGCAGUGGGGGAUAUUGCACAAUAGGGGAAACCCUGCUGCAGCGACGCCGCGUGAGUGAAGAAGUAUUUCGGUAUUUAACGCUCUAUCAGCAGGGAAGAAAAUGACAGUACCUGACCAAGAAGCCCCGGCUAACUACGUGCCAGCAGCCGCGGUAAUACGUAGGGGGCAAGCGGUAUCCGGAUUUACUGGGUGUAAAGGGAGCGUAGACGGUUCUGUAAGUCUGGAUUGAAAGCCCGGGGCGCAACCCCGGGACUGCUUUGGAAACUGUGUCACUGGAGUACAGGAGGGGCAGGCGGAAUUCCUGGUGUAGCGGUGAAAUGCGUAGAUAUCAGGAGGAACACCGGCGGCGAAGGCGGCCUGCUGGACUGAAACUGACGUUGAGGCUCGAAAGCGUGGGGAGCAAACAGGAUUAGAUACCCCAGUAGUC